rnacentral:rRNA from 1 species
UACGUAGGGUGCAAGCGUUAAUCGGAAUUACUGGGCGUAAAGCGUGCGCAGGCGGUUAUGUAAGACAGAUGUGAAAUCCCCGGGCUCAACCUGGGAACUGCAUUUGUGACUGCAUAGCUAGAGUACGGUAGAGGGGGGAUGGAAUUCCGCGUGUAGCAGUGAAAUGCGUAGAGAUGCGGAGGAACACCGAUGGCGAAGGCAGCCCCCUGGGCUAACACUGACGCUCAGGCACGAAAGCGUGGGGAGCAAACAGG